GUGCCAGCCGCCGCGGUAAUACCGGCAGCCCGAGUGAUGGCCGAUCUUAUUGGGCCUAAAGCGUCCGUAGCUGGCCGCGCAAGUCCAUCGGAAAAUCCACCCGCCCAACGGGUGGGCGUCCGGUGGAAACUGUGUGGCUUGGGACCGGAAGGCGCGACGGGUACGUCCGGGGUAGGAGUGAAAUCCCGUAAUCCUGGACGGACCACCGGUGGCGAAAGCGCCUCGAGAGGACGGACCCGACGGUGAGGAACGAAAGCCAGGGUCUCGAACCGGAUUAGAUACUCGUGUAGUCC
rnacentral:rRNA from 1 species